ensembl:lncRNA
CCCAGGAUCUCUCUCUCCCCCCGCCUCCUCCCCCCCCAAUCCCCCUCCCAAAAAAAAAAAAAAAAAAAAAAAAUGUCCCAAUGUAUGUUGCUCGGCUAUCGCACUAUCGCAACAACUCCUGAGACUGUGAGCCCUCCCCGUCUCAAAGCAGGAGGGCUGAAAAUGAACUGCAAAUGGAAACCAUGCAUGGUGACCCUCUAUCUGAAUCUUUGGAGAACAUUCCCGUUCCUGACGAGUCAAAAUUAGCUGGUGGAGAUGCUUUUGUCUAUUUAUUAAACAGAGCGUGCAACGUGACGACUUAAAAUUGAGAUGUUUCAAGUGAAUUCCCAUAGUAGAUGGGAAAGCUUCAUUCUUAAGCUUGCAGGUAGUCCAUGAGUGCACAGAGGAAAAGUCACUGUAAUAUGGACAUUUUAUAUGGCACACAGGAGUUUCCCUGGACAUAAUAAUUUCCUGGGAGAUAAUCUGCAUGACAAUGGAUUGGAGUCCCUGGGAAUAUUAGCAACAACAAAGCAGAGUUCUGUAAUACAACUCAGUACUUGUAGAUACAAUGAAUACAAAGGACUGAAUGCAAUGCUAUGGUUGGCCUUUAUCCAGUCUUCUUAUUUAAGAACAGUCUGAAAUUCAACAGAUGUUCAAUCAGCCAAGAUCCAAGAUGGAAGAAAAGAAAGAAAAGAGCAAUAUAGUCAGAAAUGCGGGGUGGAAUAUGAAGGCUUGGGCAUGAUGGUGGUAACGAUUUUUAAAGAGGAUGGAAGAAACAACUCUUUCUUGGAGCCAGUCUCUCUGAGACAGUCCAGGGGGAAGUUCAGCAUUCCUUGGCAACCAGAAAACAGAUUAAUAUAGAGUUAAUAACAUUCCCAAGGUCAGCAUUCUCCUGUUGAAACAGAUUCUAAUAUAGAAGGCUACAUGCAAGCUAUUUUUGUGCCUACAAUGACUGCUGUGUUUGCCUCCACUCCCGGCAUCACUCUCAUUGUACUGUAUGUAAAGCACUUUGGGACACAUUGGCUAUGAAAGGAAGUUCAAUUUGUGAAACCAAAUUCUAUUCUACCCACAGUCACUGCACACUGAGCUGGGUCAGCUCUGCAUUCAUUGCACUUUUUUUUUCCCCCUACAGAAUUUACAGCUUCUGCCUGCCUUUUGAGUUACUGAGGAAGCAUACACAUGAUUUUAUGUCAUGCAGAUAUUAUAUCUUUAUGUGUAAAAAUAUAUGCACACUUACACAUACACACAUGUGCACACAGACGCUGAAGAAGUGACUCAUAAGGAGAAGCAAGAAACAGGGAAAAAAUUAGCUCAUGCCUUUCUUUGCUCGAAAAUUUCUAUUGCAUUUCUGCUGAAUGAUGUUCCUGUAUUAUCUACAUAAUAAGUACCCUCUUUCUUCAGAUAAUUAAAGAGACGCUGUCCAUAUCCAAUGAAAAUUAUAUAUUUAUACAUGGCAACCUUCUAUUAAUAAACAUGUGAGAUUGUUACAACUGAACAAAACCUCACAACUCGUCUUUAUUUCCCUCCACUUAGGCUCUUUAUUAUUCUUCUCCUUAUGCAUUUAGCCCUGGUGAAAGUUGCCAGAGAAACAGUUCCCGUAAAAGGGCAAGGCAAUGCAGCCUGUUGUCUCACACCUGGAGUCUCAUGAUUUGGACUGACUUCUUGGUUCUGUUCUCUGAUGUGGCUGUGGGCCACUUUGUUUGUGUUUCCUGAGCUCUAAAAUUGGAAUAGCUUUAUUUUCCCCUUACCUCUCUCUCACAGAGUCUUUCAGUGAAACACAAUAGAAAACCAUUGUCUUUUUCAAGGCUGAGUGGGAUAUCACUGUCUCCAGAGUGUGAUCCUGUAUGCCCCAUUAUGUAUGAAAAACCUACCUCUGGAUCUGAUGGUGAAUUUUGGAUUCCAGUAUUGUGGUCUACGAUGUAACAUUAGCAUCAUACAAAGUUAUAUGGUACCAGUAGAUGCAAUUAAAACCAAAGAAACAACAACAAUGAAAGAAAGAAAGAAAGAAACAAACAAAAAACCAACCAACCAGCCAAUAAACCACAAGAACCUAAAAAACACAACAGCAACAACAAGAGAACAACCAGCCAAACAAAAAACAAAACAAAACAAAACAAAACAAAAAAAUCAGUUGCACGAAUUUAAAGAAAGUCUUGAAGAAACCUAAUCAUUGGCAAAACAUCCAUCGCUAUGUCUGUGUUUUAUGGGGUUUUUUUGUUUUGUUUUUUGUUUUUUUGUUUUUUUCCUUAGCAGUGGGGUUGGAUUGAUUAAAAGAUUAAUUUAUCUUCUACUCUGACUCACUUUCUUCCUGUGUUUAAGUUAUCAUCAUUUCAAAAGCUUGUACUAUAUUCUAUUGUACCUCUGGAAAGAAUUAAACAAAACUCACGUCUCUUAAAAUAAAUCUCUAUAGAAAAUUAACUUUUUCUUUUUCAACCUAGUACACAAACACAUACAAAGAACAUUUAGCAG